UACGUAGGCAGCAAGCGUUGUUCGGAGUUACUGGGCGUAAAGGGUGCGUAGGCGGCCCGUUAAGUCAGUGGUGAAAGCCUCCAGCUCAACUGGAGAACUGCCAUUGAUACUGACGGGCUUGAGUACAGACGAGGUUGGCGGAAUUGAUUGUGUAGCGGUGAAAUGCAUAGAUACAAUCAAGAACACCGAUUGCGUAGGCAGCUAACUAGGCUGUAACUGACGCUGAGGCACGAAAGCGUGGGGAGCGAACAGG
rnacentral:rRNA from 1 species